UACGUAGGGGGGCGAGCGUUGUCCGGAUUCAUUGGGCGUAAAGAGCUCGUAGGCGGCUUGGUAAGUCGGGUGUGAAACCUCCAGCUCAACCUGGAGACGCCACUCGAUACUGCCAUGGCUAGAGUCCGGUAGGGGCCCACGGAAUUCCUGGUGUAGCGGUGAAAUGCGCAGAGUAUCAGGAGGAACACCGAUGGCGAAGGCAGGUCUCUGGGCCAUUACUGACGCUGAUGCGCGAAAGCCAGGGGAGCAAACGGG
rnacentral:rRNA from 1 species